UACAUGCAAAGUCGAAGCGAGCGGAAACUAAACAGAUUUACUUCGGUAAUGACGUUAGGAAAGCGAGCGGCGGAUGGGUGAGUAACACGUGGGGAAUCUGCCCCAUAGUCUGGGAUACCACUUGGAAACAGGUGCUAAUACGGGAUAAGAAAAGCAGAUCGCAUGAUCAGCUUUUAAAAGGCGGCGUAAGCUGUCGCUAUGGGAUGGCCCCGCGGUGCAUUAGCUAGUUGGUAAGGUAAAGGCUUACCAAGGCGAUGAUGCAUAGCCGAGUUGAGAGACUGAUCGGCCACAUUGGGACUGAGACACGGCCCAAACUCCUACGGGAGGCAGCAGUAGGGAAUCUUCCACAAUGGACGCAAGUCUGAUGGAGCAAUGCCGCGUGAGUGAAGAAGGUUUUCGGAUCGUAAAGCUCUGUUGUUGGUGAAGAAGGAUAGAGGUAGUAACUGGCCUUUAUUUGACAGUAAUCAACCAGAAAGUCACGGCUAACUACGUGCCAGCAGCCGCGGUAAAU
rnacentral:rRNA from 1 species